GACGAACGCUGGCGGCGUGCUUAACACAUGCAAGUCGAACGGAAAGGCCCUGCUUUUGUGGGGUGCUCGAGUGGCGAACGGGUGAGUAACACGUGAGUAACCUGCCCUUGACUUUGGGAUAACUUCAGGAAACUGGGGCUAAUACCGGAUAGGAGCUCCUGCUGCAUGGUGGGGGUUGGAAAGUUUCGGCGGUUGGGGAUGGACUCGCGGCUUAUCAGCUUGUUGGUGGGGUAGUGGCUUACCAAGGCUUUGACGGGUAGCCGGCCUGAGAGGGUGACCGGCCACAUUGGGACUGAGAUACGGCCCAGACUCCUACGGGAGGCAGCAGUGGGGAAUAUUGCACAAUGGGCGGAAGCCUGAUGCAGCAACGCCGCGUGCGGGAUGACGGCCUUCGGGUUGUAAACCGCUUUCGCCUGUGACGAAGCGUGAGUGACGGUAAUGGGUAAAGAAGCACCGGCUAACUACGUGCCAGCAGCCGCGGUGAUACGUAGGGUGCGAGCGUUGUCCGGAUUUAUUGGGCGUAAAGGGCUCGUAGGUGGUUGAUCGCGUCGGAAGUGUAAUCUUGGGGCUUAACCCCUGAGCGUGCUUUCGAUACGGGUUGACUUGAGGAAGGUAGGGGAGAAUGGAAUUCCUGGUGGAGCGGUGGAAUGCGCAGAUAUCAGGAGGAACACCAGUGGCGAAGGCGGUUCUCUGGGCCUUUCCUGACGCUGAGGAGCGAAAGCGUGGGGAGCGAACAGGCUUAGAUACCCUGGUAGUCCACGCUGUAAACGGUGGGUACUAGGUGUGGGGUCCAUUCCACGGGUUCCGUGCCGUAGCUAACGCUUUAAGUACCCCGCCUGGGGAGUACGGCCGCAAGGCUAAAACUCAAAGGAAUUGACGGGGCCCCGCACAAGCGGCGGAGCAUGCGGAUUAAUUCGAUGCAACGCGUAGAACCUUACCUGGGUUUGACAUGGAUCGGGAGUGCUCAGAGAUGGGUGUGCCUCUUUUGGGGUCGGUUCACAGGUGGUGCAUGGCUGUCGUCAGCUCGUGUCGUGAGAUGUUGGGUUAAGUCCCGCAACGAGCGCAACCCUUGUUCACUGUUGCCAGCACGUUAUGGUGGGGACUCAGUGGAGACCGCCGGGGUCAACUCGGAGGAAGGUGGGGAUGACGUCAAGUCAUCAUGCCCCUUAUGUCCAGGGCUUCACGCAUGCUACAAUGGCUGGUACAGAGAGUGGCGAGCCUGUAAGGGUGAGCGAAUCUCGGAAAGCCGGUCUCAGUUCGGAUUGGGGUCUGCAACUCGACCUCAUGAAGUCGGAGUCGCUAGUAAUCGCAGAUCAGCAACGCUGCGGUGAAUACGUUCCCGGG
rnacentral:rRNA from 1 species